UUAACUCAAAUUUGUAGAGAGUUGGAACGUUUGCCUACGUUUGCCGCUAGGGGCACUGUUCCAACUCCGUACAAAUUUGAGUUC
rfam:Bombyx mori DNA, contig: Bm_scaf40_contig23244, strain: p50T/Dazao, build 2, whole genome shotgun sequence.